UAUAAAUGCAAUUACACGCGCGCGUAAAAAUCUCAUAGCCUGUCAACAAGACGUGUCAUGUUCGCACGUCUUGUUCCCAGUUGUUGACAAGUCUGCAACAAGUUGUUAUCAUUCUGUAACAAGGUUGAUGAGGCCAACAGACUUGCAACAAUUUGUUCCAACAAGUCUGAUAUCGCGUCUGCAUGUAACAAGUUGUUAACAAAUUGAUGACAACAAGGUGAAC